rnacentral:lncRNA from 13 species
CCUCGGCCAGGUCUGUAGGAGGACUGCCUCCAGGAGCUGCUCAAAUACUAUGAAUCUUUUCUGAAGCAUAUCCCUGUCAACCAGCCCCCCACCAACUCCACAGAAGCCACCAGUGGUAGUCUCCUGGAAGGACAAGAGGGAGAAGAGGGUGACGUUAGCACUGGGGAAGGAGUGGACGAAAGGGCUGCAGAUGUGGAAGUGGGAGAAGACGAUGGAGAUAGACCUGAAGGAGAUGAAGAGGACAUGGAACCUGACUACCAGCCACCUGCCAAGAAGACAAAGUAUUAUCAGAAGAGGGUGCUGAUAUCAGAUCUACCUGAAGAGACCCAGAGACAGCAGAGGGAGGCCUGGAGAGAAGCAUCCAGACGCCGGCGUGCCCGCAAAAUGUCCUCCCUUCCGACGAACCCCACACAGCCCUGCCACCCCCCCCAGAACACAGACACCUGGGGGGACUAGGGGACGACGCAGGGGCAGGCAGUAGGGUGGCAAGUUUGGAUAGCUACUGGACAGUCUUCUUUUGACAUUCCAUACAGACCACUUACUUAAAAUGAGAUGUUGAGCAUGGCUGGUAACAAACGGUUUCAGGACUGAAUAGAUAGAUACCUGGUUCAUCUCUGUAAUUGAUGUCAUUGAGCCUAUCAACAGGAGGCACUGUUUGUGCAUGUUCAGGAGUUUCCUGACAGGUUGAACUUACAGGUGUACCUUCUCAUCAUCCAUACUUGCAGCGUUAUUCUAUCAGGUGUUCAAUUUAGCAUAAAAUAUUGUACAGUUUGUAAUAGCAAUAAAGCGAAAAAUGUUUUUCCUUUUUCAUUUAAACAUACUGUCCAUCUUUUGCACAUUAAUAACAUUUAAUCUAAAACAAUUGGAUAGGUGUUACAGAAUUAUGACCAAAAUAAACACCUUGAUUUUGGAAGAAUAUGACUUAUUUAUAUCUUUAUUACAUUAUGAUUGAACAAAUUUGAAUGCCCUUAUUAAGAGCCAAGGUGGCAUCCUACCUGGAUCCUUUGUUAUUUGCAUACCACCCUAAAACUGGUGUUGAAGAUGUUCUGCUCGAUCUCCUCCACAGAGCACCUGGAGAAGCCUGGCUGUGUGGUGACAACAAUGUUCUUUGACUUCUCCAGUGCUUUCCAUACCAUACAACCCCAACUUCUGGCCCAAAAGCUAAAAGACAUUCAUGUCAACCCACACAUAAUCAAAUGGAUUGUGAUCUGACCAAUAGACCACGGUUCAUAAGACUGAACCAGGCAGUAUUGGAUCGGAUAUGUACAAACAUGGGGGCCCCCGCAAGGGACGGUCCUGUCACCUUUCCUGUUUAUCCUUUACACAAUUUUUUUACACACAACACUGAACUGAUGACUGCUAUAGUAAGCUGUGUCACGAGAUGAGACAAUACUCACCACAGGGAAACAACAGAGUCCUUUGUGAAAUGGUGUGAGGC